CCCCCCCCCAAAUCUUUCUCGGGCGCCCGACUGUUUUUGUUUUUCUUUCAGCUUCCCCCUUGUGAACUUUACCUUCUGCUCGUCUACCAGCCCACCCGCAGCGAGCUCGCGCACAGACCCACUCACGCGCCUGCAUGCAGAGGACGGCGCCCGCGUCCGCGUGCACCGGAUGGGCAUCCGUGUGCGUUCCUGUGCGUCAUUCUCUAUUUCCCCUCCCUCCCUAUUUGUUCUUUCACUCCAUCGCUUUUCGUUUACUGUCUUUUCUAUGAAUCCCUGAUGAUGCGGGCCACCUCAGCGUGGCACCACACUUCAAGUGCCCGCUCUGUAUGGGGAGGCCAAGCAGCCGGCAGCCUGUCCUCGGGUAUGGACAGCGGGCUCUCGGUGUCGGCGGACAGGUGUGGGUCAACGCGGUGCCGCAGAGACCUACGGCCAUGAUCGCGUUCGUACCAGUGCGCUGCAAAUUGUGUCGACGGUCCCACAAAUAUGCGCAUCCACCUCCUGUGUUGUCUCUGCUCUGGCUGCGUUGCGGUGGCGUUGAGCGUGAUCCCGGGCCGAGCCUGCGCUGUGUGCUGCCGUGGCCUUGCGCUGGAGUGAACGACGCCGAACGGUGUUGGUUGGAUCCGGUUCCACGACAUAGCCGUGAUGCAACAGAGGCAGGUGAACUGUGGUUGUGUAUGCGUCUGUUUCCGAAGAUGUUCAUGGUCGAAUAGACACGCUGAGAAAAAGGCCUCGCUUGACUUUGCGCAUGUGUCGUCUUCUACUCAGAUGCGCGUACUACACGCACGUCGACAAGCCGCUUCCAAAAAGAGAAGCAUGUGUGAAGGGACGUAGAAAACGGGACGCACAGCGGAACGGCGAUGCAUGCGUUGCAAUGGUCCUGAAGAAAAUGUGCGCUCGUCUUCGGUGUGUGGCAGCGGUAGUGCGCGUGCAAGCGCAGUACGCCUGGCACAGCGAAUGGAGCACCUCCUUUCCUCUUUAAGACUUGUGCAGCCCGUGAAGACUUUCCCCUUUCCCUCGCCUGCAGUUAGCCUCAGGUGCGCACAUUGUUGCCCUUCGCUGGCCGGAGUGCAAGAGGGGUCAACAUGCGCAAUGCUUCUUGCAUACCCUCUUGGCGCACCUCCUUCUGUGUGUGUGUGUGUGUGUGUGUGUGUGUGUGUCAUCAACUCUCCACACCUUCUCCUGUCGUGUUCAUCAUGUCACACGCGCACAACUGCACACGGUGUUGCCGCUGUCGUCACACAAGCGUUCUUAUUCUGCUUCAGAAGUGCCAUCGCUAACUACCGCCUCCGCAUCCCUCGCCGGUGCUUCCGCUGAGCCCCACCCACCACGAUCACCCAACUUCCUCCCGCUUUCGGCGUGUUUCCUCUUGAACAACGCUUGUCAAACAAACAGCGGGGACUACUCCGGCAUCAUCUGUAGCGGCCAACAAGCCGCCACCGCCCCUUCCCACCUUACCUA
rnacentral:misc_RNA from 1 species